rnacentral:tRNA from 1 species
GCCCCCGUAGCUUAGUAAGGAUAGAGCACUGGCCUUCCAAGUCGGAGGUCAUGGGUUCGAAUCCCAUCGGGGGCG